rnacentral:rRNA from 1 species
CAGUCGCCGCGGGAAUACGAAGGGUGCAAGCGUUAAUCGGAAUUACUGGGCGUAAAGCGUGCGUAGGCGGUUUGUUAAGUCUGUUGUGAAAUCCCCGGGCUCAACCUGGGAAUGGCAAUGGAUACUGGCAAGCUAGAGUGUGUCAGAGGAUGGUGGAAUUCCCGGUGUAGCGGUGAAAUGCGUAGAGAUCGGGAGGAACAUCAGUGGCGAAGGCGGCCAUCUGGGACAACACUGACGCUGAGGCACGAAAGCGUGGGAAGCAAACAGGAUUAGAUACCCGCGUAGUCCCUGUCUCUUAUAA